CCCUUCAGAGAGGACGAGAGCGCGCCUGCCCCGCCCCGGAUCCAUCUCCGGCCCCUCAAGGCCGCAGGAGCGGCUCCAACUUUUCAAUUCUGCCGCCAUCUUUAGGGCAGCCGACUUCCCGGCCUGCCUCGCGCUCGGGAAGGCCACGCACAGGCCGACAGGGAAUGGAGGGAGGGGCUAGCCAGAAGGCCCCUGUGAAGCCCCUUCUGAGACCUCCCCGCGCCAGCGCGCGUCACUCCGACUCCGAGGACGGCGGAGGUGCGGGCACAACGACGCCUGGGCUCUGUCCGAACACACGUGGCCCCUCAGCAGCUACUGGGACAACCGCCCCUUCACAGCGGAGUCCGGGCGGGCCGCGGGGCUGCCUGCCAGCUGCAGGCAGGAGGCCGCGGCCGCGGCCACGGUGUCGCCACCAGCCGCGCUGCCGGUAAGAGCCUGCGGGCAGCUGGACGGCGGACCGGUCCUCGUCUCGACUUCCGUUCUCCAGCGCAGCGCUGGUCCUGUGCCGGGGCGCAGCGUGUGACCUCCGGCUUCGGGCGCACUCGCUCCUGCUCCGCCGGACGGAGCCCAGCCCUGGGAGCGCUCACCCGCAGCGCUGAGCCAACGGAGCCGCUGGGAGGUGGCGCGGCAGGAAAGGGCUUUGCGGCCUGGCUCCGGGAGGUCCUGGGCGGGCACCUGCAGAGUCCGAGGCCUCCUCGGCGCCCGCCUCCCCGCACCGAGCCCAGCUCCUUCCAGCUGCAGCGAGCGCCUGCCUCACGUCCACAAGGCCGCGCGCCCUGAGCAGCUUUCCCUGCACUCUAGAGGGACGCCCAGCAAGUCCUGCCGGCGCUUCUCCACCUUCGGCGGGCUCCGUUAACUGGCUAGGCUCUCUCCCACGAAGCUGGAUCUCAGCCCUGGGGGUGACGGGGUUUCCUCCCUGGGAGCGUUCUCUCAGCCUUCAGAGUGGCAGCUGCUUCUUGUAUCUUCAGGAUUUUCUUUCCUUUUACUAGGCAAUCCCUUGUGACCCUCAUCCCCUAUGAUACUUAACGAUUCUUUACAUUAAACCUUUCCUGUACCCUG